rnacentral:rRNA from 1 species
UACAGGGGAUGCAAGCGUUAUCCGGAAUUAUUGGGCGUAAAGCGUCUGUAGGUGGCUUUUUAAGUCCGCCGUCAAAUCCCAGGGCUCAACUCUGGACAGGCGGUGGAAACUACCAAGCUGGAGUACGGUAGGGGCAGAGGGAAUUUCCGGUGGAGCGGUGAAAUGCGUAGAUAUCAGGAGGAACACCUGUGGUGUAGACGGCUUUCUGGACCAAAGCUGACGCUGAGACACGAAAGCGUGGGUAGCAAACAGG